rnacentral:rRNA from 1 species
CCGCGUGAAGGAUGAAGGUCCUCUGGAUUGUAAACUUCUUUAUAUGGGACGAAACCCUCGGAUUCCUCCGGGAUUGACGGUACCAUAGGAAUAAGCACCGGCUAACUCCGUGCCAGCAGCCGCGGUAAUACGGAGGGUGCAAGCGUUAUCCGGAUUCACUGGGUUUAAAGGGUGCGUAGGAGGACUGGUAAGUCAGUGGUGAAAUCCCCGAGCUUAACUUGGGAACUGCCGUUGAUACUAUCAGUCUUGAAUACCGUGGAGGUGAGCGGAAUAUGUCAUGUAGCGGUGAAAUGCUUAGAUAUGACAUAGAACACCAAUUGCGAAGGCAGCUCGCUACACGAAUAUUGACUCUGAGGCACGAAAGCGUGGGGAUCAAACAGGAUUAGAUACCCUGGUAGUCCACGCCCUAAACGAUGGAUACUCGACAUACGCGAUACACAGUGUGUGUCUGAGCGAAAGCAUUAAGUAUCCCACCUGGGAAGUACGACCGCAAGGUUG